rnacentral:rRNA from 1 species
UCUGGUUGAUUCUGCCAGUAGUCAUAUGCUUGUCUCAAAGAUUAAGCCAUGCAUGUCUAAGUAUAAGCACUUUAUACCGUGAAACUGCGAAUGGCUCAUUAAAUCAGUUAUCGUUUAUUUGAUAGUACCUUACUACAUGGAUACCUGUGGUAAUUCUAGAGCUAAUACAUGCUGAAAACCUCGACUUCGGAAGGGGUGUAUUUAUUAGAUAAAAACCAAUGCCCUUCGGGCUCCUUGGUGAAUCAUAAUAACUUAACGAAUCGCAUGGCCUUGCGCCGGCGAUGGUUCAUUCAAAUUUCUGCCCUAUCAACUUUCGAUGGUAGGAUAGUGGCCUACCAUGGUGGCAACGGGUAACGGGAAUUAGGGUUCGAUUCCGGAGAGGGAGCCUGAGAAACGGCUACCACAUCCAAGGAAGGCAGCAGGCGCGCAAAUUACCCAAUCCCGACACGGGGAGGUAGUGACAAUAAAUACUGAUACGGGGCUCUUUUGGGUCUCGUAAUUGGAAUGAGUACAAUUUAAAUCCCUUAACGAGGAACAAUUGGAGGGCAAGUCUGGUGCCAGCAGCCGCGGUAAUUCCAGCUCCAAUAGCGUAUAUUAAAGUUGUUGCAGUUAAAAAGCUCGUAGUUGAACCUUGGGUCUGGCUGGCCGGUCCGCCUCACCGCGAGUACUGGUCCGGCUGGACCUUUCCUUCUGGGGAAUCCCAUGGCCUUCACUGGCUGUGGGGGAACCAGGACUUUUACUGUGAAAAAUUAGAGUGUUCAAAGCAGGCCUUUGCUCGAAUACAUUAGCAUGGAAUAAUAGAAUAGGACGUGUGGUUCUAUUUUGUUGGUUUCUAGGACCGCCGUAAUGAUUAAUAGGGAUAGUCGGGGCGUCAGUAUUCAGCUGUCAGAGGUGAAAUUCUUGGAUUUGCUGAAGACUAACUACUGCGAAAGCAUUCGCCAAGGAUGUUUUCAUUAAUCAGGGAACGAAAGUUAGGGGAUCGAAGACGAUCAGAUACCGUCGUAGUCUUAACCAUAAACUAUGCCGACUAGGGAUCGGACGGUGUUUCUAUUAUGACCCGUUCGGCACCUUACGAGAAAUCAAAGUUUUUGGGUUCUGGGGGGAGUAUGGUCGCAAGGCUGAAACUUAAAGAAAUUGACGGAAGGGCACCACCAGGCGUGGAGCCUGCGGCUUAAUUUGACUCAACACGGGGAAACUCACCAGGUCCAGACAAAAUAAGGAUUGACAGAUUGAGAGCUCUUUCUUGAUCUUUUGGAUGGUGGUGCAUGGCCGUUCUUAGUUGGUGGAGUGAUUUGUCUGCUUAAUUGCGAUAACGAACGAGACCUCGCCCUUAAAUAGCCCGGUCCGCAUUUGCGGGCCGCUGGCUUCUUAGGGGGACUAUCGGCUCAAGCCGAUGGAAGUGCGCGGCAAUACAGGUCUGUGAUGCCUU